CCGUCGGUAGUGCAACGAUUCGGCACGCGCUUUUGGAAAAAGUGAGAUCUGGGUUCGAAUCCCGGCUGACACG